rnacentral:rRNA from 1 species
UUGGAGGGCAAGUCUGGUGCCAGCAGCCGCGGUAAUUCCAGCUCCAAUAGCGUAUAUUAAAGUUGUUGCAGUUAAAAAGCUCGUAGUUGAAUUUCGGGAUCAAUAUGUUGGUCAUGCUUAGGUAUGUACUGGUAUUAUUGAUUUCUCCCUCCUGAACAACCAUGAUGUCAUUAAUUUGAUGUCCUGGGGAAUCAGGACUGGUACUUUGAAAAAAUUAAAGUGGUUAAAGCAGGCUUUCGCUUGAAUACCUUAACAUGGAAUAAUGAAAUAAGACGUUUGAUUCUAUUUUGGUGGUUUCUAGGAUCGACGUAACGAUUAAUAGGGAUAGUUGGGGGCAUUAAUAUUCAAUUGGCAGAAGUGAAAUUCUUGGAUUUAUUGAAGACUAACUACUGCGAAAGCAUUUGCCAAGGAUGUUUUCAUUAAUCAAGAACGAAAGUUAGGGGAUCGAAGACGAUCAGAUACCGUCGUAAUCUUAACCAUAAACUAUGCCGACUAGGGAUCGGAUGAUGUUAAUUUUUUAAUGACUCAUUCGGCGCCUUACGGGAAAC